CACCCUCCUGCCGCGGCGGCGCCGGCGCACCCCAGCCGGAAUUAGAGCCAUAGCCAUAGGAGGCAGGGGCGCUGCCGCCGCCGCCUCCGGCUACGAUGGCGCCGCCGUUACCAUAGGAAGAGCCGCCGUAGCCGCCGCCGUUGCCGUAGGUAGAGCCGCCGUAGCCGCCGCCGUUGCCGUAGGAAGGGCCGCCGUAGCCGCCGCCGUUGUUGUAGGGGUUGUAGCCGCUGGGGGCGCUGCUGCUGUAGCCCUCGUUGUUGCCGUAGCCGCCGUAGUUGCUGUAGCUCCGGUCUCUCUCGCCGCCGUCGUCGUCGUACUUGUAGCUGCUGCUGCU
rnacentral:lncRNA from 1 species